GACCGAUGCGUCCCGCGCUCUAGGCGAAGACCGCGGCCCCGUCCCCGCGCCUCCACCGCCUUCUUCCAGGAGGAGGGGCCGUGCGGCGCCUGCCCGGGGGCCCUCAGGCCGCAGGCGGGCGCGAGCUUCAGGGAACUUAGGGGGCUCCCGCCUCCCCGGCCACGCGAGCGGGAACAGUCUCCUCCACUCGGAGCGAUUAUAGAUCCAGACUCCUGUGCCUGACCACUGCCCAUGGCCAACUCUCUGCUGAUGACUGGACUUGACUACACAAGUUGUUGGCCAUCUUAAAACCACUCAAAGUUGACGGUCUCCUCUCCUGCCUCCUGCGGCUUCCAUUACCAUGGCAGAGACUGUGGUGUCUGAGGUGGUGUAGCGUACUGAAGCAAGGCUGUCUUGAAGAAGAGGAGACAACUCACAAUUCUACCACCUUUGUUGACCUCUUCUUCCCCCCAACUUAUUGCUGUAGAGGCUACCUGAGCUCAUUGUCCCUGGAGAUGGACCAAAUAGAAGAAUAAGCAGUGCCUGUGUGCUGAAGGUAAAGAAAUUUCAUGUGGUGGAUUCCUACAAAAGAAAAAGCUGCAAAAGAGUCAACCAGGAAAGGUGCUAGACACACAUCCAAUGGCUGCUGAGUGAUGAAUGAGAAAGAAACCUUCGGUGUAGUAAGCCAUUGAAAUUUGGGGGAAAUUUGUAAUAGCUGUUGCUGUAAACCUCCGCACUGCAAAACACACACAUCCUAGAUAAUUAAAAGACAACUUCUACCAGA
rnacentral:lncRNA from 1 species